AAAAUGCAAUUAGACGAGAAUUAGAAACAAAGGAAUGAACUUCAAAAGAAGUAUGCAACCAUAGAAGCCAAGGCAGCUAGUGCAGCAGCAGGAGGAACACCCAUAGCCACACCCGCACUUUCCAUUGG